AUUGCUUCUCGGCCUUUUGGCUAAGAUCAAGUGUAGUAAUAUUAAAAUUUUACCUGGAUUGAAACAUAUUUGCUAAUUUCUUUUGUUCUACCAAUUAGAAGGAUUAUUUUCAUCUGCUACCUUCUAGCAGGAUAAACAAGCAGAAA
rnacentral:snRNA from 1 species